rnacentral:lncRNA from 1 species
GCCAGGUGCUUUUCCUGGUCUCCCAUGGGGUGCAGGGCCCAAGCACCUGGGCCAUCCUCCACUGCACUCCCUGGCCACAGCAGAGGGCUGGCCUGGAAGAGGGGCAACCGGGACAGAAUCCGGCGCCCCGACCGGGACUAGAACCCGGUGUGCCGGCGCCGCUAGGCGGAGGAUUAGCCUAGUGAGCCACGGCGCCGGCUUCCUUCUGUUCUUGAACACUGUGUACUAACAGCUAUACUAUUUUCUUCCAGGUUCAUCCCUAGGAAGCUUGGGAAGACUCAGGACUGAAGCAUGUUGAGGAAGUGGAGAGGAUUCCUCUCUUUGACCCUAAGUGAAUCCUGUGAUGGCUUUGACAGAUGGAAUACAGCGGAAGUCACUCUGGGUCUGCUCUGGCAUAGCCCUUUGCUGGGCUGGAAGCCUCCACUUCCUUCCUGUUGGCCCUGGUGUUGUGAAAGCUCCAAACCACACAAAGAGGCCCUGGAGAACUUGACCCCGCAUGGAGCAGGAGAGGCCAAGCCCCACAUGUGAGCGAAGAAGCAGUCUUGCAAGUGGAUUCUCUAUCCCUCUCCUCUGCGGUGGGGGCUGUGGAGAGUGGGAGUGCCUGUUAGUCAAGACUUUCUGACCCUUCAAGCUCACAAGCAACAUCAUUCAUGGCUGUUCUAGGUCUCAUGGGUGAGAAGGCAUGUUUCUUGUGGGCCUCCAUUCAUUCAUCUGAAAAGCAUCAACGGUGCCUUUUGGUUCUGUCUCACAGGGCUGGUUCCAGUGUUGUCAUGAGGUCCUACAGUGAUAAUGUCUGUGCAAGUCAGUUUAGGGGUGAAGGAUGCUAAGAAAAUGGAGACCAAUUGGCAGGCUGGGAAGUGUGACAGGUGCCGAUUGUUCUUGCUGCCACAGCUCCGGGCACCCUGUAUCAUCCUCUCUAGUCCUUCAGCUUCCUCAUUACUUAUCAGAGGCAGAGCCCCCCAGGGAAGGGUAGCCAAGAUUCUGAUUCUAGAAUAUUCUGUCUCACAGUUCUUGCAUUGUUGACAUAUUGGCAACUCCAAAACGCAAGGCUCAAAGACAACAUUUUACUUGGGCCAGUGCUCCGGCGUAGCGGGUAAAGCCACUGCCUGCAGUGCUGGCAUCCCAUAUGGGCGCCGGUUUGAGUCCUGUCUGUUCCACUUCCCAUCCAGCUCUCUGCUAUGGCCUAGGGAAGCAGUAGAAGAUGGCCCAAAUCCUUGGGCCCUUGCACCCACUUGGGAGACCUGGAAGAAGCUCCUGGCUCCUGUCUUCGGAUCAGCGCAGCUCUAGCCUUUGCAGCCAAUUGGGGAGUGAACCAGCGGAUGGAAGACCUUUCUCUCUCUCCCUCUGUGUAACUCUGACUUUCAAAUAAAUAAACAAAUCUUUUUUUUAAAGACA